rnacentral:rRNA from 1 species
GACAGAGGGUGCAAACGUUGUUCGGAAUUACUGGGCGUAAAGCGUGUGUAGGCGGCUAAGUAAGUCGGAUGUGAAAGCCCCGGGCUCAACCCGGGAAGUGCACUCGAUACUGCUUAGCUUGAGUAUCGGAGAGGUUGGUGGAAUUCUCGGUGUAGAGGUGAAAUUCGUAGAUAUCGAGAGGAACAUCUGUGGCGAAGGCGGCCAACUGGACGAAUACUGACGCUGAGACACGAAAGCGUGGGGAGCAAACAGG